rnacentral:lncRNA from 1 species
GUCGUAUUUGGCACAGUCUGUCAAUCCAAAAUUGAAUUCACAAUUUUAAUGACUGCAGGGCUACACAAAUUCCUGGCAAGAUGCUCAUAGGACAGGCUAUUAUUAGCUAAUGCCUCAUCUCAUAAUAGCUGACAGCAGCCCUCUAAGAACCAAGUCAUCACCUGGAGCAAAGCAGGAAAGGGAAGAUGCUGGAGGAGCUAUUAUAGAACCUUCCAUCACUCCCUACAUGAAUCUUCCUGGGCUAUCCAAACAAACACUGAGCCAGAAUCCACCUAGACAUAUGGUGUUGUCAAAUAACGUGAGAUUUCAAAAACCACAACCUAAAGACCAACAGAAAAGUACAUGUGCAGUGCUACUGAGGAUUAUACAAAUGUCACCCCUCAGACUGGUAAUAUUAUCACAUCUUUCUUUUUAA